GAUGAAGAACGCAGCGAAAUGCGAUACGUAAUGUGAAUUGCAGAAUUCAGUGAAUCAUCGAAUCUUUGAACGCAUAUUGCGCUCUUUGGUAUUCCGAAGAGCAUGCUUGUUUGAGUAUCAGUAAACACCUCAACCUCUUCUUGAUUUUUCAAAAGGAAGGUGGACUUGAGCUAUCCCAACAACCUUUACCGGUCGGCGGGCGGCUUGAAAUGCAGGUGCAGCUGGACUUUUAUCUGAGCUAAAAGCAUAUCUAUUUAGUCCUCGUCAAACAGGAUUAUUACUUUUGCUGCAGCUAACAUAAAGGAUAAUUGUCCUCUUUGCUGACUGAUGCAGGAUUUUACGACACUUUAUGUGUUGUUCAACUCGAUCUCAAAUCAAGUAAGACUACCCGCUGAACUUAAGCAUAUCAAUAAGCGGAGGA
rnacentral:misc_RNA from 1 species